GCCCCCAGGAGGCUGCCAGGCCAGGCAAAGGUGCUCUGCUAUACUAAAUACGUUCCAGGGGCCAUGCAGGCUUGGACAAUAAAAAUAACGGACUGAAGAUUGGAAGUACUUUCCGCCACGCUCACCCUUCGUGACGAAUUUAUUGAGCGCCCGCCCGCAGGCCAGGGCCGUGAGAAGCAGAGAAGGAAAACACCAACUCCUUGCCCUAUAGGACUUAAUAGCUACCUCAUAAAAUAAUUACUGUUUACUAGA